rnacentral:rRNA from 1 species
UACGAAGGGGGCUAGCGUUGCUCGGAAUCACUGGGCGUAAAGCGCACGUAGGCGGCUUUCUAAGUCAGGGGUGAAAUCCCGGAGCUCAACUCCGGAACUGCCUUUGAUACUGGAAAGCUUGAGUUCGGGAGAGGUGAGUGGAACUGCGAGUGUAGAGGUGAAAUUCGUAGAUAUUCGCAAGAACACCAGUGGCGAAGGCGGCUCACUGGCCCGAUACUGACGCUGAGGUGCGAAAGCGUGGGGAGCGAACAGG